AUACGGAGGGGGCUAGCGUUGUUCGGAAUUACUGGGCGUAAAGCGCGCGUAGGCGGAUCGUUAAGUCAGGGGUGAAAGCCCGGAGCUCAACUCCGGAACUGCCCUUGAUACUGGAGAUCUCGAGUCCGGGAGAGGUGAGCGGAAUUCCUAGUGUAGAGGUGAAAUUCGUAGAUAUUAGGAGGAACACCAGUGGCGAAGGCGGCUCACUGGCCCGGUACUGACGCUGAGGUGCGAAAGCGUGGGGAGCAAACAGGAUUAGAAACCCUAGUAGUCC
rnacentral:rRNA from 1 species